GCUGGAUAGAGUCAUCUUGGAUUUUAUCUGCACGCAAGUGUGGGACCACCAGCUGCUGCUUCACCCACCCAGUCCUCCAGCCUCCACCUUACCUCGUGUCCUCUCUGCUGCAGCUGCCUGACUCUUCCCCAUCCCCAGAUUGGUAACGCUAUGCUCUACCCUACUGAACUUAAGUCACAAGACACUAUACAGCUAGAAGAGAAUGGAAUUAUGGGACAAAAACAUUUAACAAGAUGGAAAAAGAUACUGGAUAUUCCCGGCCCAGUACUUAAAUACUUUCUGUAAAGAAGACAAAGAGAGGCUCAUUUCCACAGUCACUGGUGUAG